ensembl:lncRNA
GAGUUUUUGUUAGAUCUAGACAAUGUUCUAAUCAAAACUACUUACCUGCAUUGAUGGAGGAGACUUCCCUGUAGCUCUAAUGGUAAAGAAUCUGCCUGCAAGGCAGGAGACUAGGGUUCAGUCCCUGGGUUGGGAAGUUCUUCUGGAGAAGGGAAUGGCAAUCCACUCCAGUAUUCUUGCCUGGAGAAUUUCAUGAGCAGAGGAUCCUGGCGGGCUACAGUUCAUGGGGUUGCAAAGAGUUGGACAUGACUGAAGCCUGGGCUCCAGGGCACACAGGCCCAGCAGUUGCGGUGUGUGGGCUUAGUUGCCUGGCAGCAGAAAUAGAAAAGUUCAUCCUGAAAUUCAUAUGGACUCUCAAGGGAACUGAAUAGCCAAAAAGAAGAACAAAGUUGAAGGGUCUGCACUUCUGGAUUUGAAAAUAUUACAAAGUUAGAGUAAUCAGAUCAGUGUGGUAGCAGCAUAAAGACAGACAUAGAGACAAAUGAAAUAGAAGAGAGAACUCAGAAAUAAACUCUCUCACAUACGCACAAAAAUCUCAAAUGAGUUUCAAUAAGGAUGCCAAGAACACUCAACAAGGAAAGAACAAUUUUUUCACCUGGAUCACCACAAGCGAAAGAAUGAAGUUGGACCCUUGCCUAACGCCAUAUACAAAAACUAACUCACGCUAGAUCAAAGACGUAAACACAAAAGGUAAAACAAUAAAACUUUUUGAGGAAUGUGGGGCAAAACUUUGCAUCAUUGGAUUUGGUGACAGUUUCUUGAAUGUGACGUCAAAGGCACAGGCAGCAAAAGAAAAGAAUAGUCAAAUUUGACUUGAUGAAAAUUUAAAUUUCAUGCAUCAAAACGCACUGUGGACAGAAUGAAAAAGCAAUCCACAGGAUGGAUUUGCAAUAUAUUUGCAAAUCAUAUAUCUGAUAUAUGAUUAAUAUCCAGAUUAUAUAGAGAAUUCCUAAAACUUGAAGAAAAAAAAAAAGCCAACAAAAUAACAACUGUUGGCAAGCAUAUGGAGAAACUGGAACUUCUAUGACCUGUUGGUGGGAAUGGAAAAUGGCACAGCUACUGGGGAAAACAGUGUGGGAGUAAGAAAUUUUAAAUCGAGCUACCAUAAGACCCAAUAAUGCCACUUCUGGGUAUAUACCCCAAAGAGUUGAAAGCAGGGUUUUGAACAGAUAUUUGCACACCUAUGUUCACUGUACUAUUCACAAUAGUCAAGAGAUGGAAUGCAAUUGUCCACCUAUGAAUGAAUGGACAAGCAAAAUGUGGUAUAAACGUAAAAUGAAAUAUUAUUCAGCCUUAACAAAGAGGAAAAUUUUGACACAUGCUAUCAUAUGGAUGAGCCUUGAGGACAUGUGCUACAUUGAAAUAAUCCAGCCAUGAAAAGACAAAUACUGUAUGAUUCCACUUAUAUGAAAUACAUAGAAUAGUCAAAUUCAAUGAUAAAUUUGAAAGUAGAAUGAUAGCUCCCAAGGGCAGGAAGAGGAGGAAAAGGGGUGUUGUCCUUUAAUGAUUAUAGUUUCAGAUUUUCAGGUGAAAAGGUUCUGAAUAUAUGUUUCACACUAAUAUAGAUUUAUUUAAAAUGACUGAGCUAUACCCCAUGAUUAAGGUGGUAUAUUGAUGCUUUUGAACUGUGGUGUUGGAGAAGACCCCUGAGAGUCCCUUGGACUGCAAGGAGAUCAAACCAGUUAACCCUAAAGGAAGUCAGUCCUGAAUGUUUAUUGGAAGGACUGAUGCUGAAGCUGAAACUCCAAUACUUUGGCCACCUGAUGCAAAGAACUGACCUGAUGCUGGGAAAGCUUGAGGGCAGAAGGAGAAGGGGCAAUAGUGGAUGAGAUGGUUGGAUGGCAUCACAGACUCGAUGGACAUGAGUUUGAGCAAACUCCGGGAGUUGAUGAUGGACAAGGGAAGCCUGGCAUGCUGCAGUCCACGUGGUCGCAAAGAGUCAGAUAAGAUGAGCAACUGAAAUGAACUGAAUUGAAGGUGGUAUAUUUUACAUUGUGUGGUAUUUUUCCCACAAUAAAAAAUUAUGUAGCAGAGAAAAAUCAACAAAUGUCAAUGAUAAGCAAGAAACAGGGAGAAACGUUUACAUCAUAUGUAACAGAAAAAAAAUGCUUAAAAUAUCUAAUAUGAAGAGUUCCUCCCAAAGUCAGUGCUCUGUGACAGCCUAGAAGGGUGG